rnacentral:rRNA from 1 species
CCCAGACUCCUACGGGAGGCAGCAGUGAGGAAUAUUGGUCAAUGGGCGGGAGCCUGAACCAGCCAAGUCGCGUGAGGGAAGACGGUCCUAUGGAUUGUAAACCUCUUUUGUCGGGGAACAAAGAGGCCUCGUGAGGUCAAAAGCGAGAGUACCCGAAGAAAAAGCAUCGGCUAACUCCGUGCCAGCAGCCGCGGUAAUACGGAGGAUGCGAGCGUUAUCCGGAUUUAUUGGGUUUAAAGGGUGCGUAGGCGGGCAUUUAAGCCGGCGGUCAAAUGUCGGGGCUCAACCCCGGCCUGCCGUCGGAACUGGGUGCCUUGAGUGGGCGAGAAGUAUGCGGAAUGCGUGGUGUAGCGGUGAAAUGCAUAGAUAUCACGCAGAACCCCGAUUGCGAAGGCAGCAUACCGGCGCCCUACUGACGCUGAGGCACGAAAGUGCGGGUAUCGAACAGGAUUAGAUACCCCCGUAAA